rnacentral:rRNA from 1 species
AUUGAACGCUGGCGGCAUGCCUUACACAUGCAAGUCGAACGGCAGCACGGAGCUUGCUCUGGUGGCGAGUGGCGAACGGGUGAGUAAUAUAUCGGAACGUACCCUGGAGUGGGGGAUAACGUAGCGAAAGUUACGCUAAUACCGCAUACGAACCAAGGAUGAAAGCAGGGGACCUUCGGGCCUUGUGCUCCUGGAGCGGCCGAUAGCUGAUUAGCUAGUUGGUGGGGUAAAGGCCUACCAAGGCAUCGAUCAGUAGCUGGUCUGAGAGGACGACCAGCCACACUGGCAAUGAGACACGGUCCAGACUCCUACGGGAGGCAGCAGUGGGCAAUUUUGGACAAUGGGUGCAACCCUGAUCCAGCAAUGCCGCGUGAGUGAAGAAGGCCUUCGGGUUGUAAAGCUCUUUUGUCAGGGAAGAAAAGGGUGCGGCUAAUAUCUGCGCCUCAUGACGGUACCUGAAGAAUAAGCACCGGCUAACUACGUGCCAGCCGCCGCCGUAA